rnacentral:lncRNA from 1 species
UCCCAAUUUCAAGACUAUAAAAAAAAUCACCAACCCCUACCCCCUCGACUCUCUCUCUUUCUUUUCCUCUCAAAAAAUUUCACAAAAGAAAAACAACUCAAACCCCACAAAACACAAACCUCUCCCUUGGCUCCCUCUCUUUUCUCUCUCAAUUCACAAUACAUCCACACACACAAAUCAAAACAAAUGAAGGAAACAAUGGACAGUUGAGGCUUGGGAAUUUCAUAAAAAAUGCUAACCAAGGAACUACCACUUACAUUGAAGGUAUUUUCCAGUUUUGUUAAUCAUAUUAAAUCCAUGUUAGUUGUCUAGUUUCUCUUACUUUUGCUAUUUUUUGUUGUUGUUAUUAUGUUGUUGAAAAUUUGGGAUAGGUCAUAAAGAAGAUUAAGGAAAGAAAAAUAGUUUUUGUGUAUGCAUGUUAAGUAUUUGUAAAAAUGUCAAAAUGAAAAAUGGAAUUAAAUUGGGUGGUUUUGUUAAUUUAAGGUCAUAGUUGUAUUGUAGAAAUCACAAGGAGUGUUUCGGUAUAAAUUUUAUGAUUUUUGGUGAAGAUUUGGGUGAUUUUUAAAAAAAUAACCGACUGUAAAUUACACUUUUGAGCACCUUUCAUGUGUUUUUGUAAAAAACUAAGGUAGGAAAUGGAUUCUACAUGAAAAAUCAAAUAGGGAGGUAUAUUUUGGUGAAAUUUUACGACCGAAAAGGUUGCUGCCGACGAUCAUGGUUUCAGUCUUGCCAGAGAAGAAGAAGAGAUAAAAAAAAAAAAAGAGGAAGAAAGAAAAAGGAAAGAAAAAAAUGAGAGUGGGUUGAGAUUUUUUUGAUUUGGGCUUGUGUCUUUGUUUCGUUUUGAGGCUUGUGACUGGGCUUUCUUUUUUAAACCCAAUAUUUUCACUCUAUUAAAUUUUGCAAGUUUUCUUUGGAUUUGCUGAUUAUUUUUAUUAAUCAGCCUGCGUUUUUCUUUUGGGCUAUAGAGUGGUCCGGUCCAAGUGAUAAAAGAAUAAGGGUCCAACCUGGUUUUUUCACAUUUUUUCAAAAUAAAAAAUUCAAUUUGUAAUUCGGUCCCUGAUCUUUUGAGUAAUUUUAUUGUGGUUCAAAAAUUUUAAAUUUUUUUCAUUUUGAUCUUUAAUUUAAUUUCAUUUUGACCUCUAAACUUUAUUUUUAUUUAAUUUUUGACCCCUAAUUUUAUAAAACUUUAUUUUUACCUCAAAAACUUUUAAAUUUUUAUAAUUUAGUCCCUAAUAGUUUUUAUUCAUCACUUAUAAUUGCUCCCUUCCUUUAGUUGUUAAUUAUACUUCUCUUGCAUGUAUUUAAAUUAUACAUUUUAACUGUUUUGAGUUUAUUUACAUAUUUUAUCCAUUUGAAUUGACCAUUUUUUCAAAAACUAGCUUUUCAAAUACAAUGCUAUAGUAAUACACAAUAAGUCAACAAACUUCUCAUCCAUUCAAUAUAUCAAUUAGUUCAAAAAAUUUUAUAGUAAAAAUUUUUCAUAUACACUACUACAGUAAAAUUUUUCAAAAACAUCUCAAAAAAUAACUAAUUCAAACGGAGCAAAUGUGAAUCUUGUACAUUUGUUUUAAUAUAUUUUCAAUUAAAUUGGUACCGUUAUUCUUUUGUUGAUUUUGAAUAUAAAUAGGGCAACUCUCCCUGAUUUAGCUCCUACUUCAAGCAAGCUACUCUCUAUUAUUUUUAAACUGUUUUAUGUACUCUUAUGUGUUUUUUUAUGUGUGAUUGUAUGUUUUAUGUGCUUUUUUUUUCUUUUAUUUACUCAUUUUAUUUAUUUUUAGCUUUCAUUUAUUUUAUUUUAUUUUGAUGUUUACUAGGAAAGUAUUUAAAUACCAAAUUGUAAUAGAUAGGUUGUACCCUCUUACCUAAAAAAAUGUAUUUAGAUAGGCGAUGUAAGAGAUAGAUCUUAUUUUUGUCAAGAAAUGUGAUUAGUUAGAUAAGUGUAAUAGAUAAGUUUUUUAUUUCCAAAAUUUUUCUUUUAAAUUGUAACUAGGGUUCCCAAUUGUAAUAGUUAGGAUUUAUUUGCUUGCAUACUUGUGUGCUUGUGUGUUUAUAUGUUUAUCCGCUUUUCUUAGAACUUUUAUAUUUAGAUAUUAUACUUAUGUGUUAUGUGCUAUGUGGUUUUACAUGUUUAUUUAUUUUAAUUCAUAUCUUAUUUGUUUUAUUAUGUAUCAUGAAUGCAUGGUAUCACCACAUUAGUCCAACGCUAGUUGUGGUUCUUCCUCUUGUUUUCUUACUAGUCCAACGUUAGUGAAAAUUUUUAGAAUGAGCUAGUCCAACGUUAGACUCUUAGGCCCUCCCUGCGUUAAAUUCAUCUUUUGUAUGAUAUUCAUUGUAUUUUCAUAUAUAUAUAUAUAUAUUAGGUAAUUUUUCUCAUUUGCAUGGUAUUUUCUCCUUUAUUGUUCUCUUACCCUUUAUAUGUGAAUCACAUUAUUUAGAAUUGCAUCUCAUUUAGGAAUUUAGAAAAUAAGUUAGAUCAUUUGCCUACCAACGUUAGAAGAUCCACUUUUCCAAUAUGAAAAAUGAGUGAUUAUAGUUCUUUACUUUAAAUAUCCCAUUAACCCCUUUAUUUGAAAAAUUGUAUCAAGAGUUUUUGUUUCUCGUACCCAUUAUGUUGUAUUCCCUUUUUUUAUUACUUAUAUCUAUGUAUACAAUUUAAUUUUCUUUUUUUCGAAUUUCAUCUUUGCAUGCUCGUAACUCCUUCAAGCAAUUAUUUUGAUUUUCGUAAUUAAUGCAAUUGAUACCAAUUAAAUUUUGAAUGGACAUUUUGCCCCUCUUGAUAUCUUAUUCAAAUUUAGGUUUGCAUCCAUAUAAAAAAAAUUCGAAUGUGAUAAAUUUAAAGGUUAAAUUAGAAAAAUUUUGACUAAAUCUUGGAAUUAACUCAGACUAGGUUGAAAGUGACUUAGGUAUGAAUCAAUCGAACCUUUGCCUUCCCUUUCUUCAACUGUGACUCCUGAACUCAUUUUCUCUCGUUUUCAAAGAUCUAGAGUUGUUGAAAAGAGUUUUUAUUUUAUAUAAAUUUUUUGUUAAAAAUAUUUUGGAUGACUUGGUACACCUAAACUCAAUAUCAAGUGGCAACUCCUUUUUAAAAAAAAUCCUUUUUAGACUAAAUUUUGGGUCUAAACCACUGCAUUCUUUAAAAGUCCCAUUUUAGGCCAUUUUUCUUUAUUUUCUAAAAUCAAGAAUUCACUUUUUAACUCCAUUCUUUUUUAUUUCGAAAAUGGGGUGCGACAGUUUGGCGACUCCACUGAGGACCACUAGUGAGUUCAAACACUUGGUUUAGUCAAUUUUUUUUCCUUUUUCUAACUUUUUACAUAUUACACUUGAAUGUUUUAGGUUGCAUUUUUUUCUUUUUUAGGCCAUCUUGCAUCUCACACUAGUCUUUGUCCCUUGUAUGCGAUAAAUGGUUUGUUUACAUUCGUUUAUUUAUUUGCUUAUAUCAUGCUUUGCAUUUGGGUGGAAGGUGAUAUUACCCUAAAGCUUUCAUGCAUGUUUAAUGGUAUUAAUCCCUCCCCUCAAAGGAGCACUUCAUACGUGCAUAUGCUAUUCCUUUUUUAACCCUUUAUUUUUUCUUUUAGCAGUUAUCACACCACUCCUCCCUAUUAAGAUUACGAUCGAUCUAUCUGAGCAUGUGGUUGUGGCACAACGUGCACAUAACAAUGUCCGAGGGAUCACUCGAGUCACCGACUAAGGAUCUUGGGAUUGAUGAUCUUUUGCUCUUUGGUCUGAAGGUUUGAGCACUUGAAAUUUUAUUGAUUCUAGAUGCAUUAGUGAACCUAAACCUUAUGCAUCCAUUUAGAUCACCUAGGAUAGAGUCUUGUCUAUCUUAUUAGGAACACUAGACACGAGAGAAGGGAUUCUACCCCUUUUCCUUUUCUUUACCUUAUAUUUCUGUAUCAUUUUAUUGCUCUAAUGUGUUAUGUAUUAUUUAUCAAAUAAAUUAAUCUUAUUUUCCUCUUUUAUAUUGCAUUCAUAAGGUUUAGAAAUAAGAGUUCUAGUGUGGCACUCAUUUAGGAGAAACCGCCCUUUAG